rnacentral:sRNA from 1 species
CGCACGCGGACAUCAGGCCAUCUGGCCAUCCGGUGCCCUCUCCCUAUUAGGGGGUGGGGGUACGUCCGCGGAGGCUCAACCGGAGAAUACUCAAAUGG